rnacentral:rRNA from 1 species
UUACACAUGCAAGUCGAACGAACUCUUCGGAGUGAGUGGCGGACGGGUGAGUAACGCGUGAGAAUCUGCCUGUGGGUCGGGGACAACCACUGGAAACGGUGGCUAAUACCGGAUGAGCCGAAAGGUAAAAAAUUUAUUGCCCACAGAUGAGCUCGCGUCUGAUUAGCUAGUUGGUAAGGUAAAAGCGUACCAAGGCGACGAUCAGUAGCUGGUCUGAGAGGAUGAGCAGCCACACUGGGACUGAGACACGGCCCAGACUCCUACGGGAGGCAGCAGUGGGGAAUUUUCCGCAAUGGGCGAAAGCCUGACGGAGCAAGACCGCGUGGGGGAGGAAGGUUUUUGGAUCGUAAACCCCUUUUGUCAAGGAAGAAGUUCUGACGGUACUUGACGAAUAAGCCUCGGCUAACUCCGUGCCAGCAGCCGCGGUAAUACGGAGGAGGCAAGCGUUAUCCGGAAUGAUUGGGCGUAAAGCGUCUGUAGGUGGCCAGCUAAGUCUGCUGUUAAAGAUCACAGCUCAACUGUGGGAAGGCAGUGGAAACUGGCAAGCUAGAGGCUGGCAGGGGUAAAGGGAGUUCCCGGUGUAGCGGUGAAAUGCGUAGAUAUCGGGAAGAACACCGGUGGCGAAAGCGCUUUACUGGGCCAGACCUGACACUGAAGGACGAAAGCUAGGGGAGCGAAAGGGAUUAGAUACCCCUGUAGUCCUAGCUGUAAACGAUGGAGACUAGGUGUAGCACGUAUCGACCCGUGCUGUAUCGUAGCCAACGCGUUAAGUCUCCCGCCUGGGGAGUACGCACGCAAGUGUGAAACUCAAAUGAAUUGACGG